rnacentral:rRNA from 1 species
UACAGAGGGGGCAAGCGUUGUUCGGAAUUACUGGGCGUAAAGGGCGCGUAGGCGGCUUGGGAAGUCCGUGGUGAAAGCCCGAGGCUCAACUUCGGGUCGGCCAUGGAUACUCCUAAGCUCGAGUCGACUAGAGGCUAAUGGAAUUCCGGGUGUAGCGGUGGAAUGCGUAGAGAUCCGGAAGAACACCGGUGGCGAAGGCGGUUAGCUGGGGUCGGACUGACGCUGAGGCGCGACAGCGUGGGGAGCAAACAGG